rnacentral:rRNA from 1 species
CCUACGGGCGGCAGCAGUGAGGAAUAUUGGUCAAUGGACGAGAGUCUGAACCAGCCAAGUAGCGUGAAGGAUGACUGCCCUAUGGGUUGUAAACUUCUUUUAUAUGGGAAUAAAACGUUCCACGUGUGGGAUUUUGUAUGUACCAUAUGAAUAAGGAUCGGCUAACUCCGUGCCAGCAGCCGCGGUAAUACGGAGGAUCCGAGCGUUAUCCGGAUUUAUUGGGUUUAAAGGGAGCGUAGGUGGAUUGUUAAGUCAGUUGUGAAAGUUUGCGGCUCAACCGUAAAAUUGCAGUUGAAACUGGCAGUCUUGAGUACAGUAGAGGUGGGCGGAAUUCAUGGUGUAGCGGUGAAAUGCUUAGAUAUCACGAAGAACUCCGAUUGCGAAGGCAGUUCACUGGACUGCAACUGACACUGAGGCUCGAAAGUGUGGGUAUCAAACAGGAUUAGAUACCCCUGUAGUC